GCUAUCAUUCCCCCAACCCCCCGGAGGCAGAGGGGAUGGAAGACACGAGGAGAAUACAGCCCUCUGUAUCAACUAAGCAGGGUUCAUAUGGGCUCAUAGAAACUGAAGCAGCAAGUACCAAGGUCUGCAUGGGUCUGCACCAGAUCCUCUGUUUAUAUGUUGCGGCUGUUAGGUAUACUAAAUAAAAGUAAAAUUACAAGCUCUGCAUGUUGGUGUUGUCUUUGAAUCCCAGCACUCAAGAAACAGAGGCAGGAAUUCAAUGUGUAUGUUACAGUACAGCCCAGCUGUGUUCUGGCUCACCAUCAGUCAACCACACAUAGCUACUGGUCCCAUGCUGCUUGGAAGACAUUUACAGAGCCACCUUCAUUUUUGACCAUCUGUGACAACGGUCUGUAAAGUAUUGGUUACCACAUACCUGACAUCUUGUACUCACGCAGGAAGGAUAAGGCCAGUGAGAUGGUUUCACAGGCAAAGGUACAUCUGUUCCCUGUGUGCAUGCAGUGCCUGCAGAUACCAGAGGACCUCAUCAGAACUGGAGUUACAGACUGCUGUGAGUUGCGGAUGCUGGGAAUCAAACCUGGGUCCUCCGGUAGA
rnacentral:lncRNA from 1 species